GACGAACGCUGGCGGCGUGCUUAACACAUGCAAGUCGAACGGAAAGGCCCUGCUUUUGUGGGGUGCUCGAGUGGCGAACGGGUGAGUAACACGUGAGUAACCUGCCCUUGACUUUGGGAUAACUUCAGGAAACUGGGGCUAAUACCGGAUAGGAGCUCCUGCUGCAUGGUGGGGGUUGGAAAGUUUCGGCGGUUGGGGAUGGACUCGCGGCUUAUCAGCUUGUUGGUGGGGUAGUGGCUUACCAAGGCUUUGACGGGUAGCCGGCCUGAGAGGGUGACCGGCCACAUUGGGACUGAGAUACGGACCAGACUCCUACGGGAGGCAGCGGUGGGGAGUAUUGCACAAUGGGCGGGAGCCUGAUGCAACAACGCCGCGUGCGGGAUGACGGCCUUCGGGUUGUAAACCGCUUUCGCCUGUGACGAAGCGUGAGUGACGGUAAUGGGUAAAGAAGCACCGGCUAACUACGUG
rnacentral:rRNA from 1 species